rnacentral:rRNA from 1 species
GACAGAGGGUGCAAACGUUGUUCGGAAUUACUGGGCGUAAAGCGCGUGUAGGCGGCCCUGCAAGUCGGGUGUGAAAUCCCACGGCUCAACCGUGGAAGUGCAUUCGAAACUGCAGGGCUAGAGUCCUGGAGAGGAAGGUGGAAUGCUUGGUGUAGAGGUGAAAUUCGUAGAUAUCGAAGCGGAACACCGGUGGCGAAGGCGGCCUUCUGGACAGUGACUGACGCUGAGACGCGAAAG